GAGUUUGAUUCUGGCUCAGAACGAACGCUGGCAGCGUGGAUGAGGCAUGCAAGUCGAGCGGGAAUCUUCCGGUACAAGUCGCAAGAUGAGUAUCGGGAGAGGAUAGCGGCGAAAGGGUGAGUAACACGUGGACAAUCUGCCUCCAAGUUGGGUAUAACCCGCCGAAAGGCGGGCUAAUACCGAAUGUGGUCGCACCGGGCAUCCGGUGUUGUCUAAAGCUGGGGACCGUAAGGCCUGGCGCUUGGAGAGGAGUCCGCGUCCUAUCAGCUUGUUGGUGAGGUGACGGCCCACCAAGGCUAUGACGGGUAGCUGGUCUGAGAGGAUGGUCAGCCACACUGGGACUGAGACACUGCCCAGACUCCUACGGGAGGCUGCAGUCGAGGAUCAUUUGCAAUGGGCGCAAGCCUGACAAUGCGACGCUGCGUGGAGGAUGACGGCCUUCGGGUUGUAAACUCCUGUCGUCCGGGAACAAUGCCGAGGGGGCAAUAUCCCUUUGGUUUGAUGGUACCGGAAGAGGAAGUCACGGCUAACUCUGUGCCAGCAGCCGCGGUGAUACAGAGGUGGCAAGCGUUGUUCGGAUUUACUGGGCGUAAAGGGUGCGUAGGUGGCUGUGUAUGUCGGAUGUGAAAGCUCACUGCUCAACGGUGAAAGGGCAUCCGAAACUACAUGGCUAGAGUACAGGAGAGGAGAGUGGAAUUCUUGGUGUAGCGGUGAAAUGCGUAGAUAUCAAGAAGAACACCGGUGGCGAAAGCGACUCUCUAGACUGAUACUGACACUGAGGCACGAAAGCUAGGGGAGCAAACAGGAUUAGAUACCCUGGUAGUCCUAGCCUUAAACGGUGUACACUUGGUGUGGGAGGAUUUGACCCCUCCUGUGCCGGAGCUAACGCGUUAAGUGUACCGCCUGGGGAGUACGGCCGCAAGGUUAAAACUCAAAGAAAUUGACGGGGGCCCGCACAAGCGGAGGAGCAUGUGGCUUAAUUCGAUGCGACGCGAAGAACCUUACCAGGACUUGACAUGCUGGUGGUAGGAAUCUGAAAGGACAACGACCCCGCAAGGGGAGCCAGCACAGGUGCUGCAUGGCUGUCGUCAGUUCGUGCCGUGAGGUGUUGGGUUAAGUCCCGCAACGAACGCAACCCUUGUGUUUAGUUGCCACCGCCGGUGAUGAAUCGGCGAGCACUCUAGACAGACUGCCUGUAUCAAGCAGGAGGAAGGUGGGGAUGACGUCAAGUCAGUAUGGCCUUUAUGUCCUGGGCUGCACACGUGCUACAAUGGUCGGUACAGAGGGACGCAAGACCGCGAGGUGGAGCUAAUCCCUGAAAACCGAUCCCAGUUCAGAUUGGAGUCUGCAACUCGACUCCAUGAAGUUGGAUUCGCUAGUAAUGGCGCAUCAGCUACGGCGCCGUGAAUACGUUCCCGGGCCUUGUACACACCGCCCGUCACAUCAUGAAAGCUGUCUGCACCAGAAGGUACUGAUCUGACCCGCAAGGGAGGAAGGCACCAAAGGUGUGGGGAGUGAUUGGGAUGAAGUCGAACAAGGUA
rnacentral:rRNA from 1 species